GCCUGCGUAGCUCAAUCGGUAGAGCGUGAGACUCUUAACCCCAUGGUUAUCUCAAGGCUGCGGGUUCGACCCCCGCCGUGGGCU
rnacentral:tRNA from 1 species